rnacentral:rRNA from 1 species
UACGUAGGGGGCGAGCGUUGUCCGGAGUUACUGGGCGUAAAGCGCUUGUAGGCGGUCCACCAAGUUUGGGGUGACAGUUGCCGACUUAAUCGGCAAAGUGCCUCAAAGACUGGCGGACUUGAGGGCCACAGAGGGACAUGGAACUCCAGGUGUAGUGGUGAAAUGCGUAGAUAUCGGGAGGAACACCUGUGGCGAAAGCGGCAUACUGGACCACAACUGACGCUGAGGCGCGAAAGCUAGGGGAGCAAACAGG